UGUGGGUCUUGGCCCUGCAGCACUUUACAGCUCCCGGGGAAAACCCAGCGGGGAUGGUCCCUGCUGGCCUUGCGGCCAGGUGUGGCUGCUCCCCAGGGAGUUACUGGCGUCCGCUUUUACAUAAAGGACACAAGGAACCACAGAACUGACCCUGUCUCCCUACCCCAUCCAGGCUGGAUUCACCUCAAACCAGCGCAGCGUUCUGUCUUGUUAGACGUGUAAAAUAAAACCACGGACCUGUAGAGCUGGAAGGAUCCGUGAACUGAGAGCAGUAUCUGGAGAAGGGUGCAGUGGGCGGUGGGAUGCCGUCCCAGCUCACCCGUCCCACCCCUGCCUGCCCAUCCAUCCAGGCCUUGCAGCCCGCACACAGGGCUGUCUCACUCCCUGCACUGCUCUGCCUGCAGAUCUCCGGAGACUUACAGAUUUGAAUGAGACCGGACAACAAGAGGAAACGUUUUUUUUCCAGAGCUGAGCUGGCUUCAUUUGCAUAUGAUUCCGGGCAAGGGGUUCCGCUGAACCCCAAGACAAUCUAGGGCUUGUGAUUACUGUGCCGUAUGCAGUGCCUAACACUGGCUGGAAAAGAAGUGUAAUUCUAUUAUAGGAAAUCCACUUCAAGUAAUGGAAGAGACUCAUUUUUCCAUAAGAAAACGUUUGAUCAAGAGCUGAGUAUUCAUCAGGGAUGCAGUUGAAUUUCAAUUCCAAAGCUGUCACCGUAAUAUUCCGGAGCCUUGCAGCCCCAAGUGGACACGUACAUUUAUAGAUCUUGCGGGGGAUUUUGCAAACCACAAUGGCAGUAAUGGACGACGCUCGCGGGGAGUCAUAAAGGAGCUCAGUGUGGUCACGGCCCAGGUGGGAUGUAGUACCACGGAAACGCUAAUGCCCAUCUUGGGAAAGUGGACCCCAUGUGCCAGCAGGGCAGCCGGUGACGGGAAUCCAGGCCAGCAACCGGGACAUGCGGACAGGAGACGGCUUCAGUGCAAAUAUAUGACACAUACUAUCUUCAGCUCGGAGUCGUGGGGGAUCGCAGGCGGCCGCUUGGCCCACGCUCUGGAAGACCGUGGAGCAUGUGCACCUCGCAGGGGAAGCGCCCGGGCUGUGCCUGUCACCCACCCCACGGGGACAGAAAUCAAACAGAAGAGAACCACCGGAUGAGAUUUACGGUAACAGAAAUCACUGCUCGCUAACUUUUAAGUUAGGCUCUGGAAUACAAAACACAGUUCUGAU